rnacentral:rRNA from 1 species
UGAGGAAUAUUGGUCAAUGGGCGGGAGCCUGAACCAGCCAAGCCGCGUGAGGGAAGAAGGUACAGCGUAUCGUAAACCUCUUUUGUCAGGGAACAAAGGCGGGGACUAGUCCCCGGAUGAGGGUACCUGAAGAAAAAGCAUCGGCUAACUCCGUGCCAGCAGCCGCG